CACGUAGGGCGCAAGCGUUGUCCGGAAUUAUUGGGCGUAAAGAGCUCGUAGGCGGUCUGUUACGUCUGCUGUGAAAACCCGGGGCUUAACCCUGGGCUUGCAGUGGAUACGGGCAGACUAGAGGCAGGUAGGGGAGAAUGGAAUUCCCGGUGUAGCGGUGAAAUGCGCAGAUAUCGGGAGGAACACCGGUGGCGAAGGCGGUUCUCUGGGCCUGACCUGACGCUGAGGUGCGAAAGCGUGGGGAGCAAACAGG
rnacentral:rRNA from 1 species